ensembl:misc_RNA Metazoa_SRP Metazoan signal recognition particle RNA
GUGGGGUAUGGUGGCGCAUGCCUGUAAUCCCAGCUACUCGGGAGACUGAGGCAGAGGAAUCGCUUGAACCUGGGAGGCGGAGGUUGCAGUGAGCCAAGAUCUUGCCACUGCACUCCAGCCUGGGUGACACAGCGAGACUCUGUCUCAA